rnacentral:rRNA from 1 species
AUGACCAAGGGCGAGGUUCCGUUGAUCGGCAUCGACCUUGGUACAACUUACUCCUACGUCAGCGUGUGGCAGAAGGUCGAAAUCAUGGCCAACGACCAGGGCAACCGCAUACCACACCACGCCCUCCUACGUCGCCUGAACCAGCUCGCAAUGAACCCCACCAACACUGUCUCCAAUCAUAGUACAAAGUUAAGCUGGCAACGAGGUAUCCCUUUCCAUCCAUCAUCCCUGGUUUACACAUUUGGUCCAGGAUCGGACUCGCCUACUCUGAACAAUAGUUUUCUGUUCUGA